rnacentral:rRNA from 1 species
CGGACGGGUGAGUAAUACUUAGGAAUCUGCCCAUUAGUGGGGGACAACUAGAAGAAAUUCUAGCUAAUACCGCAUACGCCCUACGGGGGAAAGCGGGGGAUCUUCGGACCUCGCGCUAAUGGAUGAGCCUAAGUCGGGUUAGCUUGUUGGUGAGGUAAUGGCUCACCAAGGCGACGAUCCGUAGCUGGUCUGAGAGGACGAUCAGCCACACUGGGACUGAGACACGGCCCAG